CCUUGCCAUUGCCGAUGCUCAGCUUGCUGUCAGUGGUGAGACGGGCAACUAUCCCGAGUUCGCAGGCAACGUCAAGACCAUCGAGGCACGUGGAUACUGGCGUGACGGCAGCAUCUCUCCAACCACUGUGGGCUAUCAUUACAAUCACAACGCCGAGACUCAGAUGCUGG
rnacentral:rRNA from 1 species